rnacentral:lncRNA from 1 species
UUCUUUGAUGAACUCUCUCGACUUCCAUCACUGUCCAUGUGUCCCAGGUCUGUUUCUUUGUUCCAUGACACAGGAACCUGGAAAUAUCAGUGGGUGUCCUCCAGGUCCACACUCACACCUUCAAAUAUCCAUUCUGGAUACAGGUAUCCAAAUAGCCUUGUAGCGGAGCAGUCUCAGCUAAGAGUUUAUAGCAGCAGGAACAGUUUCAGAUGCAACGUCAAUGUCCUUUGCAGGCCCCUGUGAACUCUGGAUGAGCCUUCAUGCAGCAGCUGAUAGAAGCAGAAGCAGACACCCACAGCUAAAAACUGAACUGAACUGGAAUCCAGUUGCAGAGAAGGAGGAAUGAUGAGCAAAGGGGUCAAGACCAGGCUGGUGAAGCCCACAGAAACAGCUGACCUGAACAUGAGGGAGCUCUUGGCCCCCAGAUUGAUCACUGGGAAACCAGCAUGGGACUGAUCCAGACCCCAGGAACAUGGGUUUCAAUGAGGAAACCUCAGAAAUCUAUGGGGCCUUUUGUAGUAGAUCAGUACUUAUCCCUAGCAUAGGUAUGGACUUUGGGAUCCCAUUCCUCAUAGAGGGAUACUCCCUCAGCCUAGACACAUGUGGAGGGCCUAGGCCCUAUCCCAAAGGAUAUGACAGACUCUGAAGACCCCCAUGGAAGGCCUCACUCUCCCUGGGGAGCAGAAAUG